rnacentral:rRNA from 1 species
UAAACAAAGAGAGGCAAGACCGCGAGGUGGAGCAAAUCUCAAAAAGCCGUCCCAGUUCGGAUCGCAGGCUGCAACCCGCCUGCGUGAAGUUGGAAUCGCUAGUAAUCGCGGAUCAGCAUGCCGCGGUGAAUACGUUCCCGGGCCUUGUACACACCGCCCGUCACACCAUGAGAGUCGGGAACACCCGAAGUCCGUAGCCUAACCGCAAGGGGGGCGCGGCCGAAGGUGGGUUCGAUAAUUGGGGUGAAGUCGUAACAAGGUAUC